CUCAAUUCUCCCUUUAGUGCUGUGCAGCCUCCAAACCCCUUCUUCACUAUCUUUGCUGCGCAGCCAUAUCCUAAGCACACCCACCCGGUCCCCUAAAUCAAAGGAAAAAGAAUGGAAAUGGAAAGAAAAGGGGGACCAAGCCAGAAGAACGAAGCAGAGACGGAAAUGGGGGACUGAGUCGCGGCGAAGGAGAGGAGGAGGGAGCUCGCGUCACCGCUGAUGGGGUUGCAUCACCGCCACUGCGCCUUGCUGUCGCGACCUAACCAUGUCGCCGCCGACCCGUGACGCUGCCUCCAGAACCGCGCGAAGGACAGAGGGAGGAGAGAGAGAGAGUUCGCAUCGGAGGAGAGAGGGAGCUCGUGCCUCACCACCGUCACCCAUGGAGUCACGAGCUGCGCCGAUUGCCGCCGCGUCGCGUCGGAGAGGAAGGCUGAGCCUGAGCGCCGCUGGGAGAGAGAAAGACGUGGGCUGGAGAAGCUGCAUCCAGUCGCUGCUGUCGCGCCACUGACCGCCGCCGUUCCGCCGUCGCCGUCAAAGGGGUUCUGCUAGGAGAGAGGAGACCGGCGUACGUGAAGAAGGGGAGAGGUCCGAGGCUGAGAUGGUUCCCGUCACUACCGACCUGCUGCUCCGCGGUGCUUAGCUAGAGCUUCUGGCUACUUCUGCCGUCGCCGGAAGAGUUGCCGUUGAUCCACCGGAGCUUCUGGCCGCCGCCGGAGCUGUUGCCAGGCCUGUUCGAAAUCGCAGAUGCUUCGUUUCGCUAGUUCAUGUUGCUAUGGUUAUUGCGAACGUGACUGGGAGCUGAGGUUUUGGUUGCCGUCAGUUCGGAUUGAGGCGGAAAGGACUUUGUGAGACUUUUGGGUUAUGGAUUUGCGUUUUGAGGUAGGG